CAGGAACCGGCUACUGUAUUGAUGAUUGCUGACAGUGUUUUGGUGGCCGUCAAAAUGGAACUGCCUUUGUUAAUAACUCUUCUCAUCAACGGACCCCGUUUGCAUCAUCUAAAUAAGGUGAAGAUAUUAAGCCGUGUGCUUUGUGCAGCCGUGGAGAUACCUGCCUUGGUCUUGUUUUCUUUGGCUGAUCCCAUUAACG